GCUGGCGGCAUGCUUANNCAUGCAAGUCGAACGGUAACAGGAGAGAGCUUGCUCUCUUGCUGACGAGUGGCGGACGGGUGAGUAAUACAUGGGAAUCUGCCCUGAGGUGGGGGAUAACCCGGGGAAACUCGGGCUAAUACCGCAUGAUCUCUUCGGAGCAAAGUGGGGGACCUUCGGGCCUCACGCCUUGGGAUGAGCCCAUGUCUGAUUAGCUAGUUGGUGGGGUAAAGGCCUACCAAGGCAACGAUCAGUAGCCGGCCUGAGAGGGUGUACGGCCACACUGGGACUGAGACACGGCCCAGACUCCUACGGGAGGCAGCAGUGGGGAAUAUUGGACAAUGGGGGCAACCCUGAUCCAGCAAUGCCGCGUGUGUGAAGAAGGCCUGCGGGUUGUAAAGCACUUUUAUCGGGGAAGAAUAGGUUGUCGUUAAUAGCGCCAACACUUGACAUUACCCGUUGAAUAAGCACCGGCNNAACUCCGUGCCAGCAGCCGCGGUAAUACGGAGGGUGCCAGCCGUUAAUCGGAAUUACUGGGCGUAAAGGGUGCGUANGCGGAAGCUUAAGUCUGAUGUGAAAGCCCCGGGCUUAACCUGGGAAUGGCAUUGGAAACUGGGUUUCUAGAGUGUGGUAGAGGAUAGUGGGAAUUUCCAGUGUANCGGUGAAAUGCGUANAUNUUGGAAAGAACANCGAUGGCGANGNCAGCUAUCUGGGCCAACACUGACGCUGAGGUACNAAAGCGUGGGGAGCAANNGNAUUNNAUACCCUGGGUAGUCACNCCCUAAACGNNGUCNACUNNUCGUNGG
rnacentral:rRNA from 1 species